UACGAAGGGGGCUAGCGUUGUUCGGAAUUACUGGGCGUAAAGCGCACGUAGGCGGAUAUUUAAGUCAGGGGUGAAAUCCCAGAGCUCAACUCUGGAACUGCCUUUGAUACUGGGUAUCUUGAGUAUGGAAGAGGUAAGUGGAAUUGCGAGUGUAGAGGUGAAAAUUCGUAGAUAUUCGCAGGAACACCAGUGGCGAAGGCGGCUUACUGGUCCAUUACUGACGCUGAGGUGCGAAAGCGUGGGGAGCAAACAGGG
rnacentral:rRNA from 1 species